CAAGGUCUCCGUUGGUGAACCAGCGGAGGGAUCAUAUCCGAGUUUACAACUCCCAAACCCCUGUGAACAUACGUGUUGUUGCCUCGGCGGAUCAGCCCGCUCCCGGUAAAACGGGACGGCCCGCCAGAGGACCCCUAAACUCUAUUUCUAUAUGUAACUUCUGAGUAAAACCAUAAAUAAAUCAAAACUUUCAACAACGGAUCUCUUGGUUAUCCCAUCGAUGAAGAACGCAGCAAAAUGCGAUAAGUAAUGUGAAUUGCAGAAUUCAGUGAAUCAUCGAAUCUUUGAACGCACAUUGCGCCCGCCAGUAUUCUGGCGGGCAUGCCUGUUCGAGCGUCAUUUCAACCCUCAAGCACAGCUUGGUGUUGGGACUCGCGUUAAUUCGCGUUCCCCAAAUUGAUUGGCGGUCACGUCGAGCUUCCAUAGCGUAGUAGUAAAACCCUCGUUACUGGUAAUCGUCGCGGCCACGCCGUUAAACCCCAACUUCUGAAUGUUGA
rnacentral:rRNA from 1 species